rnacentral:tRNA from 1 species
GGGCGUAUAAUUUAAUGGUAAAAUACUGAUUUCCAAAAUCAGCUUUGUGGGUUCGAUUCCUGCUAUGCCU